rnacentral:lncRNA from 1 species
UGCUGGGAGUCACGAGGAGGCUGCACUGGAUGUGUCGCCCCUUUGGAAAAAACCAGAGGCCACUGGGUACCCAGCAAGAGCCUUGUGCUGACUCAAGGACUGAGGCCUUGGCAGGAGACUCAAACACAGAUCAGGCUCCGGAGAGGUGGCGCUCAACACCAGGACCUGGAAGGGGCAACUCACCAGCUCGGUGGCAUCCUGGCCCCGGAGAAGGGGCUUCUCCUCAGGAAAUCGCAGCUCCUGCAGCCCCGCCAUGGUCACGUCGUGGAGCAGAAGCCCUAGGAAGAAGGGAAUACGAGGUUGGGUCUUGUUCUGAAGCUGCCCGGUGAGAACAUCACAUGGUAGGGCUCCUGCCCUCAAGGGACCACUUAAACCAAGGAGUAUUUGUUCUUUUCAAAAUAAAAUCAUGUUUUGCAAAACU